CAACAAACAAACCUUGCAGAUACAGCACAGAAGUGACACUGAAAGCUGCCUGCGGUGGACUGGAGGGAGAGUCAGUUGAACAGAUCUCCCUGGAGAAAUUCUUCAGGAAUGAAGGAACUAGCAGGUCAUGAUCUUGGAGUUGUGGCAUUGAGCCCUGCAUCGGGUUCUGCACGCAGCACAAGAUCAGACUCAAAAAUACCUCAGCCUGGAACUCCUGCCCUUCAGCUCAUUUUACAUUGAAGGCCAUUAUUCUAUAUGAACCUGCGAUGCUGCAGAAGAUACAAGACUCCCAGAUCAAAGACAAUGUGAUUUAUUUUUCACAGUAGCUCACAGCAUGAGCUUCAUGUUCACACUGACUCCCCUUGUGCCCUAAUUCUCACAGAGGCAACAAUGAGAAGCCGACUUUUCUAUAGUAGGAUGUGGCACCUAUUAUAAGAUAAUAGGCCAUUUGAUCAAAUCCAUAUUGUUAAACAUAUCUUCAUACAGUAGCUUUCAUGAAAAAUCACCAUCGUUCAUAUUAUAACUAGAUUAUCUAUUGUGCUAAGCCAGCAGUUUCUCAUCUUUCCCACCCAGUCUCUCACUACCUUAAGUGAAAUAUAUGGAAACCUCACAGGAAAGUUCUUAUCUCUCUAUAUGAAAUUUUAUCCUAAAAAUCCUCCAUUAAAUCAGCACUUCGAUAAUUCAACCAACUGUUCUUUAUUUUUAAGAGAUUUUUUCUCAAUAUAUCCUUACCAUUCUAUCUAUGUGUAAGAGGCCAUUGAAAAGUCAGGAAUUUAACUGGUCAAUAAAAGCAAUUUACACAAUUCAUCCCAAGAUGUAGAGUCUCCCAGUGAAGGUCAUAAGCUUCAUAAGAUUUGUGUAUGUAUGGCCCACUCAUUUAAAAGAGAUCAAAGGGGAAAAACUAGAAAAUCAUACAACAGAGGAGAAAAAAGUGAUGAGAUUAAAAGUGUCUCCACAGACCCAACUCGUGUCUGCUUCUGCAUAUUACAUUUAAGUUAAUCUGUAUUAAUUGCCUAUUUCUGUGUAUCUCCUGUGACUUUCUGAAUUAUCAUAUAUUCAAAGUUUCAACUUAGUAGUAGUAUGUUGUCAUGCUAACUGAUGCUGUGAUUUCAGAUACAGACUUCUGUGGAUUUUGAUUGUUGCCUACUUCUUACACGAUAGGCAAGUUACCUUACAACAUCUUUUAGGGAAUUACAAUACCAGCAAUGAUUCAGAUGGGAUAGUGUGAACUAGAAUGAAGACAAGUAGAACUGCAAUAAAGAGAUUCCAGGCUUGAGUUUGAUGCUGCUAAAUGUCUAAGAAAAAUUAGACUGCUCAGGAUAGAUUUUUUUUUCCAGAAUAGAAUCUAUUUGAGUGAUAUAUGUUCUUGGCAUUUAUGAUAUCUCAUUGUGGAUUAAUCAACUAGGAUAAAUUUAGAAUAGCAUGUUAGAAAUGCAAACAAAUGUUAGAAUCCGAAAAUUGAGAAAAAUGAUGUUAAUUUUAUACCUCAAGAUUCUGGAAAAGGACAAAUACGAGGAUUGGAGCAACCCAAAGUAGUAUGUGAAAAUGUUCAAUGUAAGGUUAAAAAGCAUGAGGUCAAUAAAAGAUUCGAGGCCUUUGGAAAGCUAAGAAAAGAAGUUAAGAGUGGAUAAAGACUGGAAAAUACAUCAAAAGUAAAUUUCAGAAGAUUUUUAAGGCAGUAAAAAUAGUCUGCAUAAUACUACAAUGGUGGUACUUGUCAUUAUACAUUCCUCCAAAACCAUCAGAUGCAUAACACCAAGAAUAAACCUUAAUAUAAGCUAGGGGCUUUGGGUCAUUAUGAUGUAUCAAUGUUGGUUCAUCAAUUAUAAU